GGCUACUUCCGCUGCUGUUUCGUAGCCGACUGCUGAAGGCUGGUUUGCGUCGACAUGGCGGUUACUCUGAGUCUCUUGCUGAGCGGGCGCGUUUGCGCCGCCGUCGCUCGCUGUGGGUUCGCGACCCGGGGGGUGGCGGACCCAGGCCCUAUUGGCCGGGAGCCGGACCCCGAUUCCGACUGGGAGCCGGAGGAACGGGAGCUGCAGGAGGUGGAGAGGUACCGGCUUCUCCCCGGGCCCUCAGCUUGAAGCAGGGCCUCGCGCCCCGGCGUUCCAGGCCGCGCCCCCUUGGCGCCGGGUGUCCUGCCGCUGCUUGCGCAGCGGCCCUUGUUUCUUCUUACCCGUUGUUAGGGGCGCAGCGUCAGGUGUUCAGCCCCCUGGGACCACUGGUCCCUUCAUUAGUGACGUAUUUCAUCAUCAAUUUAGAGAGUUCGGCAUGCUUACAGGUAGUUAUUGUUCUAGGUGUUAGCUUUCUGGGUGUACAGAGCAGCUCUAAGCCGGCAACAUGGCCCGGUUGCCCUUGCGAUCAAAGAGAAAAGGGCUGGGCGCUCCAUGAUUUAGCCUGAGGCUCUUCGAACAUCCAUUCUGCUUCCACGCAUGGCUUCUGCCAUUGGUUCUCUUCCCCCAGCACCCUGAAACGACAGAAAAAAGCAAUCCGAUUCCAGAAAAUUCGGAGGCAAAUGGAGGCGUCUGGUGCCCCGCCCAGGACCCUGACGUGGGAAGCCAUGGAGCAGAUCCGGUAUUUACAUGAGGAAUUUCCAGAGUCCUGGUCAGUUCCCAGGUUGGCUGAAGGCUUUGAUGUCAGCACUGAUGUGAUCCGAAGAGUUUUAAAAAGCAAGUUUUUACCCACAUUGGAGCAGAAGCUGAAGCAGGAUCAAAAAGUCCUUAAGAAAGCUGGGCUUGCCCCCUUGCUCCAGCAGCUCCGGGGCUCUGGAAAUACCUCAAAGCUGCUCCCUGCAGGCCACUCUGUAUCAGGCUCUUUGCUUAUGCCAGGGCAUGAAGCCUCAUCCAAAGACCCAAAUCACAGCACAGCUUUGAAAGUGAUAGAAUCAGACACUCACAGGACAAAUACACCAAGGAGAUGGAAGGGAAGAAAUAAAGAAAUCCAGGACCUAGAGGAGAGCUUUGUGCCUGUUGCUGCACCCCUAGGUCAUCCAAGAGAGCUGCAGAAGUACUCCAGUGAUUCUGAGAGCCCCAGAAGAACUGGCAAUGGUGCGUUGCCAAGUGAUCAGAAGCUGGAGGAGUUGAAGGCAGAGGAGCCAGGUAACUUCAGCAGCAAAGUAGUGCAGAGGGGCCGAGAGUUCUUUGACAGCAACGGGAACUUCCUGUACAGAAUUUGAGUCGGGGCUUGGCUUGUGGAGAUGCCUCGUGAAACACGGCUGGGCAAGUAUUAAUGUAUAUGGAGCAGCCUGGAUUUCUGCAUAUGGAUAAGCCACCUUGGAGUAGGAAGAAGUGUUGAGCCUGGACUGUGGGAGGAAAGAGCUGCAUGGAUAGAUUCAAACUUCCUGUAGUAGUGCUCCCAGUCUGACCGCUGUAGACCUUCAGUACUCACUCUUCUUGCUUGGGCUCUCUGUGUUGAAAACCAUCGCGUGUUGCAUGUGUUGUUACAAUUUUCUGUGAUACUUGCAAUUUAUGUUUGAGAGGAAGUGAAGUUUGCCUUCUGACCUAUUUCUUUCUUGAUCAGUGAACACUAACAUUUUGGGGACAACUUAGUCAAUUGGUUUUCCUUACAACAAAAUAAAGUAAAAUGUAGCAGUCUGCUUUUUCGGUGCUCUCUGGGGUGGGAUGGUUUACCUGUGAACCUUGGAGAGUGAGGGAAGGACAAAGGCAGAAAGGAAGGAUCCCUGGUCAGUAAACAUUGGGAGAGAGAUGGAACCAGAGGAAUUUCCCAGCAAAGGGCUCUGUGCAGAGCAUCCUGCUUAGUGAUGGAUUCUGACAACUGAAAACUGGACGCCUUUCUCUUAGUUGCUGGGGUUCUGGCCGAGAUUGGGAAAUGAGGGGUUGGCAGAAAAUACAAAGCAGGCAAAGGCUUUAGGGCCCUUAUAAUCUCCAGCCACCUUUUAAAGUUUAUAUUAAGAGCUGGGCAUAGCAGAAUGUGCCUACAGUCCCAGUAACUUGGGAGGCCGAGGUGGGAGAAUUGCUUGAGCCUUGGAGGUUGAGGCUGCAGUGAGCUAUGAUUGCACCACUGCACUCCAGCCUGGGAUAACAGUGAGACCCCCAUCUCUAAAUAAAAUCAAUCAGUCUUCAAUUAUGUCUCAUUAUACAGUUAACCAGAUUUUUACAAUGGCGCCAUGAUGUAGGCAAUCCCAGAUUAAGAGGUCCCUUUUACAAAUAAGGAAAUAGACAUCAAGAUGGCUGCCAAAAAGUGGCAGUGCUGGGACUUAAACUCGAGUCUCAUCAUUAAUCCAGGGCUUCUGGAAUUCCAGGAAUAUGGCACUGUCUGCCAUCAUUUUGUAGAUUUACUGCUUGUUUUAGAAAUACAUCUGUUACAACCAGAAAUUCGGGGACAGCUUAGUCAAUUUGUUUUCCUUACAAGCAAAAUAAAGUAAAAUGUAGCAAUCUGCUCAUUAGCGCUCUGGUGGGAUGGUUUACCUGUGAACCUUGGAGAACCAUGUCCUGCUUUCACAAUUUACCAGUAAAAAUGGCUACUCCAAAUUUAAAUAUAUGUAGGACAUUAAUGAAAACACCUGCAUUCCAACUCAGUCAUUGCCGCUCUGUAGAAUCUUACUGCUAUUUCAAAUGUCCAAUUGCAGCAAUUAAAAUACUGAUUACUGUU
rnacentral:sRNA from 1 species